UACGUAGGGUGCAAGCGUUAAUCGGAAUUACUGGGCGUAAAGCGUGCGCAGGCGGUUAUGUAAGACAGUUGUGAAAUCCCCGGGCUCAACCUGGGAACUGCAUCUGUGACUGCAUAGCUAGAGUACGGUAGAGGGGGAUGGAAUUCCGCGUGUAGCAGUGAAAUGCGUAGAGAUGUGGAGGAAUACCGAUGGCGAAGGCAGCCCCCUGGGAUAACACUGACGCU
rnacentral:rRNA from 1 species